rnacentral:lncRNA from 1 species
UUCACCUUUUUUAGGUUCAAAAUAGAGGAGGUUGUGUUUUUCUUUCGCAUUUCAUUCACUGUUUUUGUUAUGAAACCCAGUGAUUACUUCUAUAAAUGUGCAAAAUAUUGACCAAAUGUAGAAGUGAUGGGAUGAAGGGCUCAAAAGUCAUCCUGUCCCUUUCUCUUCCUUCCCAAAUCCUCCCAUUCUGAAAAAAAAAAAUGUCCCCAAUUAAGCCAAAACACCUGAUAAUUUAUUUAAGUUUUAGACCUGUAGAAAGCACCUGUGUUCUGGGUUCUUUAUCUCCCAACUCUGGUAUCUUGUUAAAGAUAAGAAACCUCCCUCCUAGCUAAGCAAUCCCUUGUGCAGAUUUAAGCCAUCAUAAAUUAUAAUGCCAACAUGCAUUCCCUCAACAAAUAUGAAGUUACUUUGGAAAUACUCACAGUGUCCCUUGGAAGAAAUCCUAUACAUGUCUGUCUAUGAUCAUAUAAAUGUGUAGUGACUUUCUAUGCACCAUGUAAAUACAGGAGACAAUCGCCAAUUUAAAGUAUAUCUAACGUAUGCGCUAUUGAUUUAAAUGAAUGUCUCUUACUUAUGUAGCCUGUAGGCUCUAAGAUUAAGUCUCAAAUAUCCUCAGUCUGAUUGUAUCAUAAUGUGCUCAGAGAAUAAUAACUAUAAAAGAAAUAGAAGAAAUCGCACUGAGAUCAUCAAUGGAAUCCAGCCAUCAUGUAUUUUCUGAUUACUCGGGUCCUGUGAAUGUUGAUUAACUAACAUGUACAGGAUAUUUUCUCUUCUAAAUCUAUGAAGGUUAUCUAAUACGGCAAUGCUUUAAAAAAUACUAUCAAUGCAAAAGAGUGUUUCAGAAUUCUACGGAGACUAUACUUUUUGAAGACAAGUUACCACCUGUAAGGGCAGUUACAUUCAUGCUUGUGUUGUUUGUUAGUAUAAUUGGGAAAACUUUAGCAUGGUUUUGAAAACUUCUUCGUUUUUGCUAACAAAUGAUGCUGGUGUUUGACAAUAGAUGGUCCAGUACUCCUUCUGGUUAUCUUUACAUUUAAAAAAAGAAGGCCAAAAGAAUGCAAGGCUGUAAUCUCUCUUCUCUUUUCAAUGUCCUAAGAAAUAUGUCACAUAUAUGGGAAAGAAGACACUAGAUGUUUGCUACUUCUGUUCAUUUAAUGUUUUAAAUUCAACUUCUUUAUUUGAAUGCUCAUCUCUAAUUUUCCACAACUGUAGUUUUAAGCCAUGAAGUCUUUUAAUAAAAAACACUGCUCCAAACAAACAAAAAAUAACAAUAAUUAAAGAAAAGGUAGAUAUGAAUUUGAACAAGAGUGGCUGUAUCUGAGAGGAUUUUGGGAAAGGAAUGGGAAGAGUAAAUUUAUGCAAUCAUAUUGUAAUCACAAAACCUUAAAAACAAACAAAGAAAUGAAGUUAUGACUGUAGUAUAAGAGUAUGUUAUCCAGCUGGAGAGAUGGCUCAGUGGUUAAGAGAAUGGACUGCUCUUCCAGAGGUCCUGAGUUCAAUCCCCAGCAACCACAUGGUGGCUCACAACCAUCUGUAAUGGGAUCCAAUGUCUUUUCUGGUGUGUCUGAAGACAGCUACAGUGUACUCAUAAACUAAAUAAAAUCUUUUUUUUUUUAAAUAGUAUGUUAUCCUGAAUUUAAAAAAUUAGUUUUUAGUUAUAAAAUGUUUAUUGGACGCUAACCUGAUUAUGACCAUAAAAGUCAUAAAAUCAUUUCAUUUCCAUUUAGUGUGUUCCCUUGAUCAAUUUAGUGUAAUUUUCAUGUAUAGAUUUUUACCAUAUUUACACCAUUUAUAAAGCCC